UAUGUGAUCGUCUCUCGCAUAUCAAUAAGCGGAGGAAAAGAAACUAACAAGGAUUCCCCUAGUAACGGCGAGUGAAGCGGGAAGAGCUCAAAUUUGAAAUCUUAAAGGGUUUCCCUUUACGAAUUGUAGUUUAAAGAAGUGUUUUCUGUUGAGGUUUUGGUAAAAGUUCUUUGGAAUAGGACAUCAUAGAGGGUGAGAAUCCCGUAUUUGACCUUUACUUUCAACUUCGUGAUACACUUUCAGAGAGUCGGAUUGUUUGGGAAUGCAGUCCAAAAUGGGUGGUAAAUUUCAUCUAAAGCUAAAUAUUGGCGAGAGACCGAUAGCGAACAAGUACCGUGAGGGAAAGAUGAAAAGAACUUUGAAAAGAGAGUUAAACAGUACGUGAAAUUGUCAAAAGGGAAGCGUUUGACACCAGUGUUGUUUUUCUGAAAAUCAAUUAAAGAACUGUUUAUGCUAAGUUGUUUAGACUUUAUCAGCUAUCUGUUUAGUUUUGAGCUUUUCUUUAAUGCACUUUUCAGUUAACAAGUCAACAUCAAUUUCUUUUGCUGUAAAAAAGCUUGAGGAAGGUGGCUUGAGAUUCGUCUUAAGUGUUUAUAGCCUCUUGCCUAUGCAGUCGGAGAGAUUGAGGUCUGCAGCGUAGAUCCUUCGGGGCUAAAUGCAUUUGUGCUAAGUUAUAGCAUUUCAUAGACAACUUGUUGACUAUGAUUUGUCUUGUAGCUUACUCGCUUAUGUUAUUUUACCUACGCUUAGGAUGUUGAAUCUGUGCGAGACUAC
rnacentral:rRNA from 1 species